CCUACGGGAGGCAGCAGUGGGGAAUAUUGGGCAAUGGAGGCAACUCUGACCCAGCAACGCCGCGUGAAGGAAGAAGGCCUUAGGGUUGUAAACUUAUGUUGUAAAGGAAGAAAAGAAUGACGGUACUUUACAAGAAAGCCCCGGCUAACUAUGUGCCAGCAGCCGCGGUAAGACAUAGGGGGCAAGCGUUGUUCGGAAUUACUGGGCGUAAAGGGAGCGUAGGCGGGAGAUUAAGUUAAGAGUGAAAGCCUUGGGCUCAACCCAAGAAAUGCUCUUAAUACUGGUUUUCUAGAGUGUGGGAGAGGUAAGUGGAAUUCCUAGUGUAGCGGUAGAAUGCGUAGAGAUUAGGAGGAACAUCAGAGGCGAAGGCGGCUUACUGGACCAUAACUGACGCUGAGGCUCGAAAGCGUGGGGAGCAAACAGGAUUAGAUACCCCAGUAGUC
rnacentral:rRNA from 1 species